UACAGAGGUCUCAAGCGUUGUUCGGAUUCAUUGGGCGUAAAGGGUGCGUAGGCGGCGCGGUAAGUCGGGUGUGAAAUCUUGGAGCUUAACUCCGAAACUGCAUUCGAUACUGCCGGUGCUUGAGGACUGGAGAGGAGACUGGAAUUUACGGUGUAGCGGUGAAAUGCGUAGAUAUCGUAAGGAAGACCAGUGGCGAAGGCGGGUCUCUGGACAGUUCCUGACGCUGAGACAGAAGGUCAGGGGAGCAAACGGG
rnacentral:rRNA from 1 species